UACGAAGGGGGCUAGCGUUGCUCGGAAUCACUGGGCGUAAAGGGUGCGUAGGCGGGUCUUUAAGUCAGGGGUGAAAUCCUGGAGCUCAACUCCAGAACUGCCUUUGAUACUGAGAUCUUGAGUUCGGGAGAGGUGAGUGGAACUGCGAGUGUAGAGGUGAAAUUCGUAGAUAUUCGCAAGAACACCAGUGGCGAAGGCGGCUCACUGGCCCGAUACUGACGCUGAG
rnacentral:rRNA from 1 species